rnacentral:rRNA from 1 species
GACGAACGCUGGCGGCGUGCUUAACACAUGCAAGUCGAACGGAAAGGCCCUGCUUUUGUGGGGUGCUCGAGUGGCGAACGGGUGAGUAACACGUGAGUAACCUGCCCUUGACUUUGGGAUAACUUCAGGAAACUGGGGCUAAUACCGGAUAGGAGCUCCUGCUGCAUGGUGGGGGUUGGAAAGUUUCGGCGGUUGGGGAUGGACUCGCGGCUUAUCAGCUUGUUGGUGGGGUAGUGGCUUACCAAGGCUUUGACGGGUAGCCGGCCUGAGAGGGUGACCGGCCACAUGGGGACUGAGAAAGGGCCCAGACUCCAACGGGAGGCAGCAGGGGGGAAUAUUGCACAAGGGGCGGAAGCCUGAUGCAGCAACGCCGCGUGCGGGAUGACGGCCUUCGGGUUGUAAACCGCUUUCGCAUGUGACGAAGCGUGAGUGACGGUAAUGGGUAAAGAAGCACCGGCUAACUACGUG